rnacentral:rRNA from 2 species
GUGACCUCAAAUCAGGUAGGACUACCCGCUGAACUUAAGCAUAUCAAUAAGCGGAGGAAAAGAAACUAACAAGGAUUCCCCUAGUAACUGCGAGUGAAGCGGGAAAAGCUCAAAUUUAAAAUCUGGCAGUCUUUGGCUGUCCGAGUUGUAAUCUAGAGAAGUGUUAUCCGCGCUGGACCGUGUACAAGUCUCCUGGAAUGGAGCGUCAUAGAGGGUGAGAAUCCCGUCUUUGACACGGACUACCAGGGCUUUGUGAUGCGCUCUCAAAGAGUCGAGUUGUUUGGGAAUGCAGCUCAAAAUGGGUGGUAAAUUCCAUCUAAAGCUAAAUAUUGGCGAGAGACCGAUAGCGAACAAGUACCGUGAGGGAAAGAUGAAAAGAACUUUGGAAAGAGAGUUAAACAGUACGUGAAAUUGCUGAAAGGGAAACGCUUGAAGUCAGUCGCGUUGUCCAGGGAUCAACCUUGCUUUUGCUUGGUGCACUUUCUGGUUGACGGGUCAGCAUCAAUUUUGACCAUUGGAAAAAGAUUAAGGGAAUGUGGCAUCUUUGGAUGUGUUAUAGCCCUUGGUUGCAUACGAUGGUUGGGAUUGAGGAACUCAGCACGCCGCAAGGCCGGGUUU